rnacentral:rRNA from 1 species
GCGCACCCAGAAACCCUUUGUGAACUUAUACCUUACUGUUGCCUCGGCGCAGGCCGGCCCCCUUGGGGGCCCCCCGGAGACGGGGAGCAGCCCGCCGGCGGCCAAGCUAACUCUUGUUUUUACACUGAAACUCUGAGAAAUAAACAUAAAUGAAUCAAAACUUUCAACAACGGAUCUCUUGGUUCUGGCAUCGAUGAAGAACGCAGCGAAAUGCGAUAAGUAAUGUGAAUUGCAGAAUUCAGUGAAUCAUCGAAUCUUUGAACGCACAUUGCGCCCUCUGGUAUUCCGGAGGGCAUGCCUGUUCGAGCGUCAUUUCAACCCUCAAGCCUGGCUUGGUGUUGGGGCACUGCCUGUAAAAGGGCAGGCCCUGAAAUUCAUUGGCGAGCUCGCCAGGACCCCGAGCGCAGUAGUUAAACCCUCGCUUUGGAAGGCCCUGGCGGUGCCCUGCCGUUAAACCCCCAACUUCUGAA